CUCAGCCCAGAGCCAGCUCAGGAGGUGCCAAGACUUCCUCCUCCUCCUUCUCUUCUUCUGCCUCCUGCUUUUCCUCCUCCUCCCAGCCCAGCCUCUUCCUUGAGUUCCUUCCUGGGACCGGCUUUGCCAGGUGCUUGGAGGCCUGGGAGAGAGGCCUUUCACAGGCCCCUAGCCUCCAAGGGGAGAGGAAGGUCACUUGAAGGGGUAGACCCAGUUGGUGGAAGCCAGUCAGUCCAUCAUGUUUCCCUGGCCUCAGAACUGUUUCAUGGAAAACAAAAUCUUAUCCAAUCAGGAUGAAUAUGAGGCUUGGAGCAGCUGCAGUUGAGGGAAAGCCUGGAGCUCCCACAAGACCUGAAGCCAGACCCUGAGGCAGGAGCUAAGCCAAGGAAGUGUGGCUGGAGAAUGGAGCCUACUGAAGUCCAGCUGGUGAUGUGCUGAAGCUGGAACCUUUCCUGGCACUGGGGGGAAAUGCAGCUGCAGCCGCCUGGACUCGCUGCUCCCCAAGACUCGAUGCAGUCUGGCCCCCCGGCACAAUCUGGAGCUGAAGGUGAUUACCCUGGUUUGCCUGAGUCCAAACUUCCAAGGACAGGCGCUGAGAUGAAGGGCCGUGGGCGGAUUAUCAACAUCAAAGGUACCGUAAUCACACCACUGCAGGGUGCAGGAUGGACUGUAGGAGACCAAGCCUGGAAGACUGAACCUGAUGGGGUGGCUGCAGGGAGAAGCAAGGAGGUCCUGAAACAAGGUGAUGAGGAGAUAUGGAGAUACAGGAUUGACAGAGUACAGGACGAAGGGACAUCCUGUGACUCAGGUGUCAGGACAGAGGGACGCGACAAGAUAAUCAGAGGAGGCUUUGAGGGAAGUCUUCUGCAUGUGCACCCAGGGAGAUGUUUUCUCUGGGGGCCUUUAUUUUUCCUGUUGAAAUGUGAACCUUCGACUCUGAUCUGCCUUUUCAGUUAA
rnacentral:lncRNA from 1 species